rnacentral:lncRNA from 1 species
CUAAUUACAUUUUAAUCUGGUUCCAUCUGCACUUGGAAACUUUGUAGGACACUUGUGGUCCAUAGGCUGGGAGAGCGGCACUUUCCCCAUGAUUUAGCUUUAAAACCCUUCCAUUCAGGACACUGGAUAGAAAACUGCGCCUUGCAAUCACCUGCUGUUUGUAUCAGUGACACUGGAGAGGAAAAUUGUUUUGCUCUCUAUCGCCCUCUACUGUUGAACGAUAUGUUCUCUGAGGCCCUUUUCAACUCUAGAGCAGAGAUCCUUUGAAGCCAGUGAAGGAGGUGGUAAAAGGAUUUAGCACUGGAUUUUACCACCCUCUGUGGACUCAGGAAGACUCAGUUCUGGGCCACAGGACAUAGGCCAAAUGGACAAUUAGAAAAAUCGUCACAAGGAAUCCCUUCCUUCCUUCCUUCCUUCCUUCCUUCCUUCCUUCCUUCCUUCCUUCCUUCCUUCCUUCCUUCCUUCCUUCCUCCCUUCCUCUCUUCCUCCUUUCUUUCUUUCUUUCUUUCUUUCUUUCUUUCUUUCUUUCUUUCUUUCUUUCUUUCUUUCUUUCUUUCUUUCUUUCUUUCUUUCUUUCUUUCUUUCUUUCUUUCUUUUUCUUUCUUUCUUUCUUUCUUUUUCUUUCUUUCUUUCUUUCUUUCUUUCUUUCUUUCUUUCUUUCUUCUUUCUUUCUUUCUUUCUGUCUUUCUUUCUGUCUUUCUUUCUUUUUUCUUUCUUUCUUUUUUCUUCCUUCCUUCCUCCCUCCCUCCUUCUUUCCUUUCUUCCUUCCUUCCCUCCUUCCUUCCUUCCUAGAGCUAUCUUAGAAUAAGCACACCCUCUCUGUAAAUAAUUAUAGUUGGUAUUCAUAUAGCACUAUCUAAUCUUUAAUUAGUUUAAAAGCUAGAGCUCAACUUGAAAUUCGUUAUUUUGUCCACUUUGCCUAACUACUCUCCCGCUUUACUCCCAGGAUUGGUGGCAGAGUCCAAGGUCUCUCUUUUGGUUCUUGUCCUUGAAGAAGGGAACUGACUUUGAUUAGAUGUCUCCAGCACAGAGGACUCAGUGAAGCCUGAGAAUAACUCAUUUUGUCACCUGUCUUUUCCCCAGUGAUUGAAACGCCUUCAUCUCAAUACUGACUACCCCCAUAUCCUAGACUGGCAUGACCAGUGGCAUUCCAGGAGGUCACUCUCUCAGGGAGUAGAGACAUGACACAAGCCCUCCAGACAUGUGAUUGUGUUGACCAAAGCCUCAGAGAAUGCACAGAAGUUGGAGGGAACACAGUAAUUCCUUCUGCUGCUAAUUGGAAUACCACUCCCAGUUCUAACUGACUUUGCUCUAGUUUCUAUGGUUACAGAAUGCCAUUGGGCAAGUUUCCAAAUCACUAGCAGGUCUACAUUUCUUUCUCUUACAACUGCCCCAAUGCCCAUCAACAUGGAGAGCUUCCAAAAAGAGCUUCUACUGAUACAAAUUGUCACCCACUAGACAAUUUGUAAUAUUAUUUGCCAACCUAUACCCUUGAGUGGUUGAGAGCUUUGCCCAAGAUCACAGGGCCUGUGAGAGAGGAAAGGAACCCAGGUCUUUCUGACUCUCAGACCUUAGAGUGGCUCUCUGUCUCCUAUAACACGGUGCCCUUCCCUAGAUCCUAAUUAGACUCCCUAGUAAAUACUUUCUAGUUGGUUAAUCAUCAUUUCAUCCAUAUCUAGUUUCCCUUUGAGGCCUGCCUCCUCCUCUUUUUUUUAAAAUAACCUUUACCUUCCAUUUUAGAAUCAAUACUAUGUGUUGGUUCUAAGUCAGAAGAGUGGUCAGGGCUAGGCAAUGAGGAUUAAGUGACUUGCCCAGGGUCACACAACUAGGAAGUAUCUAAAGCCAGAUUUGAACCCAAGACCUCCCAUCUCUGGGCCUGGCUCUCACUCAACUAAGCAACCUAGCUUCCCCCUUCUUCCUCUUUUUUUUACUGGAUCGUGCCAGGGUAUGAAUACAACUGUUAUCUCCGCACCCCCACCCUAUCCUCCAAUCCUGGCAAGCUGUUCGCCCAUAUAAUCUUAGAGCUGGAACAUUAUCUCUUGUUUUUGUUAAGUUUAUAUGUAGCCUGGAAACUCAGGCUGUCACAUAAUGCAUAUUUGUUUUGAAAAACCUUUGAAAGAGAGGAUUAAAUCAUAUUCAGUAGUUUUGUGUUUUUUAUGUUUGAAAAUAUAUAGGAUUUAUUUCACUGAGUGAUUGAAGAGAGGGGAAUGUAUUGCCCUGCAUGAGUAUUGUUGAAUAAAUGCUGGGAUGUGCUGGAGCCA